AUAUCAAUAAGCGGAGGAAAAGAAACCAACAGGGAUUGCCCUAGUAACGGCGAGUGAAGCGGCAACAGCUCAAAUUUGAAAUCUGGCCCCUUCGGGGUCCGAGUUGUAAUUUGCAGAGGAAGCUUCGGCGUUGGCCCCGGGUUAAGUCCCCUGGGACGGGGCGCCCUAGAGGGUGAGAGCCCCGUACUCACCCGGGUGCACCUCGCCGUGUGAAGCUCCUUCGACGAGUCGAGUUGUUUGGGAAUGCAGCUCUAAGCGGGAGGUAUAUUUCUUCUAAAGCUAAAUACCGGCCAGAGACCGAUAGCGCACAAGUAGAGUGAUCGAAAGAUGAAAAGCACUUUGGAAAGAGAGUUAAAAAGCACGUGAAAUUGUUGAAAGGGAAGCUCUUGCUGCCAGACUUGCCGCGGUUGCUCAGCCGCCCCCCGGGGCGGUGUACUCUUCCGUCGGCAGGCCAGCGUCGGUUCGGGCGGCCCGAUAAAGGCCUCGGGAAUGUAGCACCUCUCGGGGUGUGUUAUACUAUAGCCCGUGGUGUAAUGCGGCCAGCCCGGUCCGAGGCACGCGUUCGCGAGGACGCUGGCGUAAUGGCCGCAAGCGACCCGUCUUGAAACACGGACCAAGGAGUCUGACAUCUGUGCGAGUGUUUGGGUCUGACACCCAUGCGCGUAAUGAAAGUGAACGGAGGUGGGAACCCCCCCGAGGGGCGCACCAUCGACCGAUCCUGAUGUCUUCGGAUGGAUUUGAGUAAGAGCAUAGCUGUUGGGACCCGAAAGAUGGUGAACUAUUCCCGGAUAGGGUGAAGCCAGAGGAAACUCUGGUGGAGGCUCGCAGCGGUUCUGACGUGCAAAUCGAUCGUCAAAUCUAGGAAUAGGGGCGAAAGACUAAUCGAACCAU
rnacentral:rRNA from 1 species